rnacentral:lncRNA from 1 species
GAAUGACUUGUGAUUUUUAUGCUUUUCACAAACUGUCAAAAUGUUGACACCAUUAAUCUCUCUAUUGAAACAGGAAGCCACUAUAUUAUUAGCAUAAGGAAAUAGGUAAAAUCAAAAUCACUAACAAAAUCCAAAUGCAAUUCUCAGAUCUCCUCAGAUAACCCAUGAGAAAAGUAAUAAAAUGAAGAAACAGAUGAAAAUUACAGAAAUAGAAACCUAAUCUUAGACAGGUCCUGGCAGCAAAAGGAGGCAAAAUGUAUGCAAAGUUCACUCUGGAUAAACAUUGUGUUUCCUGGGCUUCCUUAUAGAACACAGACACUGUCAUAAGUAAUUUGACCUGACAGACACCAUCACCUCGGGUUUAUCACAGAUUAACAGAUAGACAAGCAUUAGAGAGGCAAAUCGUGUUACCGAACUGGCAGUUGACAGAGAGUGGUAUCAGAAUGAUGGCAUACAGACCGGAUCUGUCGGGAGGCAAACUGCAGCCUAAUUCAAUCCCACGUCUCAGGAGAAUCCAGAAAGUGUCCACAGGAGAUUAAAUCUAUGCAUCUGCUCUCUUUCAAAGAAUUCAGAGGCUGCCAAGAGAAUAUUUCAGAUAUAUAACUGAACAUUUCUGAAUUAUGCAAAAUUCACAUCUAG